rnacentral:tRNA from 1 species
AGGUCUGUCGCCAAGCGGUAAGGCAACGGGUUUUGAUCCCGUCAAUAUCCUAGGUUCGAAUCCUAGCAGACCUGCCA